GUUUCAAUAGCACAGUGGUUAGAGCACUGUCACAACACACCAGAGGCCCUGGGUUCGAGUCCCGGUUGAGACU
rnacentral:tRNA from 1 species